GCCCAUGGUCUGUCCACUAUGCUAUGCUGCUUCCCAUUUGUCUGCUGUGUGACCUUGGGCAAGUCACUUCACUUCUCUGUGCCUCAGUUCCCUCAUCUGUAAAAUGAGGCUUGAGACUGUAAGGCCUUUGUGGACAGGGACCAUGU